GCAGUGAAGAAGAGCAAGGCCGACAAGGACCCCAACAAGCCCAAGCUCCCCCCGAGCGCCUUCUUCAUCUUCGCAGGGACACCUUCAAGAAGGAGUACAAGGAGAAGCACCCGACGUGAAGCAGGUCUCCGUGGUUAUUUCCCAAUGAUGGCCAGGCAGUGGCAGGAAUCACUUGCUUUGGUGCUAAUGACUACCCAACUAUCUAUGUUCGAUCAUUAGCUACCAAGCCAUUUCAUUGGUCUUCGGUUCGACCAUUGCGUCUUCAGUAGGAAUGCCUUGCUCGAAAAUUAUGUAGCAUCAAAACUGCUGGAUGCCCCCUUAAACCUUUCGAUUCCUUAGUAUGAGAAUAAUAUACAUAAGGAAUUAUGUGCUGGCUCCAUGGUUUGCUAAUUGCUUUCCUUGCUCAAUACUGAUCUCACGGCCACUAUAGCUAUAUUAUGCCCCUGCCUCAGCACUGAACUUAAUGUAAACUUGGUUCAGUUUUUUUUUAUAUUAUAAACAUGCUAAGAAAAAGUUAGGGAACCGCGGGCCAAGGCGCGCUAGAGGUCUAGUGUCUAUGAAGUGGUGUGCUUGAAAACCAAGGAACACUUCUAAUCCUUGUCGGUGUUCUUUUUAUUGUGGUAUAAGAUGAACUAGCUCAUUAUUGUUUGGUGAUUGGUUUGAACACAUGUUCUUUUUCUGCAGAAAUAUGUUGUGGUUCCUUGCAGAAUAAAUAAGUAACCAUCAUAGAUAAUCAUGUAAAAGUAAAAUUCUUGGAAUUAUUGUUUUCAUGUUGUAUAAUACCUAUUUAUUAUUUUACUGCUGAUGUGAGUUAAUCGUACUCUAUUCCUUUUAUUGAGCUACUCCACUACCUCCUCCAGCGUCUCUGCGGGGGCGCCCGACGGUGGGCAAGUCGUGGAUGUAAAUAGACCUGCUGCUAUCGACUGUCUUCCCGGACCACGUCCCCAAGCUGCUCCUGCCACCGACCCUCCUCAACUUUGCUCGUUGCCCGCUGCUGCUGCAGAUGUUGGCCUUUCAUGUUUCUUUGUGAUCUUCAGGACAAAGAAGUUGGAUGAAGCAUAGUUUUACCUCAUUGAGCUAGUUCUGUGAGUAACGAAGUCCUUGUAGCAGAACUUGUAUGUGUGCUAGUUCUGGGAGCUACUUCAUUGGAAUAAUAUUGAUCCUAUUUGUGUGUUAUAUGAUGUAGCAGAACUUGUAGGGCUCAUGUGAUAGACUUGGGCUGAUACACUUGGGUUGUAUGUGUGUUAUCUAAUUGUAAACUUGA